GCUGCAGAGAACACGGCUUGUUCACACAGCCAACAGAACGAGCUAGUGAUGCAGACAGCUCUGGUCCUUCUACCUGCCAGUUCUGUGCAAAAAGAUCCCUUCAAGAGACAGGGGAAUCAGGUUUCCUUGAGAUGUCAUAUUAAAUGAGCUGAAUGCCUGGACCAGAGUGGAGAAGGGAUGACGUUGAUUCUGGUGGAUUACUUUUGAUAUGUGCAUAUUCUAUUUCCCUACAUUGUGUCUCUUAAGUUCUACCUCUGAUGGUUCAAUCAUGCAUACAUGUCUACCCAAUGAGUUCAAUGGGACUUACUCCCAGGGGAUUGCAGUACAACACAAGCAUGCCCUCAAGCUCCACAAUAGAACGCCUGUUCAGUACUGGUGGCAACGUAAUGACUGCAAAAAGGCAUUCUUUGUCUGACUUGUCCUUUGAGCAAAGAUGAGACAUAACAGAAAUGUAUUGUAAAAGCAGCAUUUCAAGUGUAAAAUUUGUUUUCGAGUGAAAAAGUAUACGUGCAUGGGAGUAUCACCACUGCCGGGUUGGGGGUGGAUGUGAGAUUCUGUUAUGCCAUUCAGUUAAUCUUAUGGAUAAAAAAAAAAAAUCUA